rnacentral:rRNA from 1 species
UACGGAGGGUGCAAGCGUUGUUCGGAAUUAUUGGGCGUAAAGCGCACGUAGGCGGCUUGGUAUGUCGGGUGUGAAAUCCCCGGGCUCAACCUGGGAACUGCAUCCGAAACUGCCUUGCUAGAGUAUGGGAGAGGGAAGUGGAAUUUCCGGUGUAGCGGUGAAAUGCGUAGAUAUCGGAAGGAACAUCAGUGGCGAAGGCGGGUCUCUGGGCCGAUACUGACGCUGAGGAGCGAAAGCGUGGGGAGCGAACAGG